rnacentral:rRNA from 1 species
UACGGAGGGUGCGAGCGUUGUCCGGAAUCAUUGGGCGUAAAGGGCGCGUAGGUGGCGGGACAAGCGUGCGGUGAAAGCUCGGGGCUCAACCCCGCGUCGGCCGUGCGAACUGUUUUGCUGGAGCACUGUAGAGGCAGGCGGAAUUCCGGGUGUAGCGGUGGAAUGCGUAGAGAUCCGGAAGAACACCGGUGGCGAAGGCGGCCUGC